rnacentral:rRNA from 1 species
CGGUAGAGAGAAGCUUGCUUCUCUUGAGAGCGGCGGACGGGUGAGUAAUGCCUAGGAAUCUGCCUGGUAGUGGGGGAUAACGUUCGGAAACGGACGCUAAUACCGCAUACGUCCUACGGGAGAAAGCAGGGGACCUUCGGGCCUUGCGCUAUCAGAUGAGCCUAGGUCGGAUUAGCUAGUUGGUGAGGUAAUGGCUCACCAAGGCGACGAUCCGUAACUGGUCUGAGAGGAUGAUCAGUCACACUGGAACUGAGACACGGUCCAGACUCCUACGGGAGGCAGCAGUGGGGAAUAUUGGACAAUGGGCGAAAGCCUGAUCCAGCCAUGCCGCGUGUGUGAAGAAGGUCUUCGGAUUGUAAAGCACUUUAAGUUGGGAGGAAGGGUUGUAGAUUAAUACUCUGCAAUUUUGACGUUACCGACAGAAUAAGCACCGGCUAACUCUGUGCCAGCAGCCGCGGUAAUACAGAGGGUGCAAGCGUUAAUCGGAAUUACUGGGCGUAAAGCGCGCGUAGGUGGUUCGUUAAGUUGGAUGUGAAAGCCCCGGGCUCAACCUGGGAACUGCAUUCAAAACUGACGAGCUAGAGUAUGGUAGAGGGUGGUGGAAUUUCCUGUGUAGCGGUGAAAUGCGUAGAUAUAGGAAGGAACACCAGUGGCGAAGGCGACCACCUGGACUGAUACUGACACUGAGGUGCGAAAGCGUGGGGAGCAAACAGGAUUAGAUACCCUGGUAGUCCACGCCGUAAACGAUGUCAACUAGCCGUUGGAAUCCUUGAGAUUUUAGUGGCGCAGCUAACGCAUUAAGUGACCCCUCUCUCGGGU